rnacentral:rRNA from 1 species
CAAUCUAGACGGAUUGCCCACUGACUGCACGUCGAUCUCUGAGGCAGACAUGGAUCUUCGCCAAUGCCUAGCUUAGCGGGCACGCCGCUGAGUAUGAGGUCUCGAUCGUAACUCGUUAUAAGGUAGACUAUGGUAGUACUGUGCACAUCUGACGUACUAUCAGAAAGCCACGCUACUACGUGCAGCAGCGCGUAUACGUAGUGCAGCGUAUCCGAUAUUGGCGUAAGCGCGCGUAGGCGGUUUUUUCUGAUGUGAAAGCCACGGCUCAACCGUGGAGGGUCAUUGGAAACUGGAAAACUUGAGUGCAGAAGAGGAAAGUGGAAUGGGUCCAUGUGUAGCGGUGAAAUGCGCAGAGAUAUGGAGGAACACCCAGUGGCGAAGGCGACUUCUGGUCUGUAACUGACGCUGAUGUGCGAAAGCGUGGGGAUCAAACAGGAUUAGAUACCCUGGUAGUCCACGCCGUAAACGAUGAGUGCUAAGUGUUAGGUUUCCGCCCCUUAGUGCUGCAGCUAACGCAUUAAGCACUCCGCCUGGGGAGUACGACCGCAAGGUUGAAACUCAAAGGAAUUGACGGGGACCCGCACAAGCGGUGGAGCAUGUGGUUUAAUUUGAAGCAACGCGAAGAACCUUACCAAAUCUUGACAUCCUUUGACAACUCUAGAGAUAGAGCCUUCCCCUUCUGAGGGGGACAAAGUGACAGGUGGUGCAUGGUUGUCGUCAGCUCGUGUCGUGAGAUGUUGGGUUAAGUCCCGCAACGAGCGCAACCCUUAAGCUUAGUUGCCAUCAUUAAGUUGGGCACUCUAAGUCUGCCGGUGACAAACCGGAGGAAGGUGGGGAUGACGUCAAAUCAUCAUGCCCCUUAUGAUUUGGGCUACACACGUGCUACAAUGGACAAUACAAAGGGCAGCGAAACCGCGAGGUCAAGCAAAUCCCAUAAAGUUGUUUUCAGUUCGGAUUGUAGUUUGCAACUCGACUACAUGAAGCUGGAAUCGCUAGUAAUCGUAGAUCAGCAUGCUACGGUGAAUACGUUCCCGGGUCUUGUACACACCGCCCGUCACACCACGAGAGUUUGUAACACCCGAAGCCGGUGGAGUAACCUUUUAGGAGCUAGCCGUCGAAGGUGGGACAAAUGAUUGGGGGAAGUCGUAAUCAACUGUAGC